rnacentral:rRNA from 1 species
GCUGGCGGCGUGCUUACCAUGCAAGUCGAACGGAGUAUUCCGCCCGAGACCUGAUGUAGCUUGCUAUGGAUGGGAUCAAUUGGAAUACUUAGUGGCGGACGGGUGAGUAACGCGUGAGUAACCUGCCCUUGAGUGGGGAAUAACACCGAGAAAUCGGUGCUAAUACCGCAUAAUGUCGGAGAACCGCAUGAUUUUCCGACCAAAGGAUUUAUUCGCUUAAGGAUGGACUCGCGUCCGAUUAGCUAGUUGGUGAGGUAACGGCCCACCAAGGCAACGAUCGGUAGCCGAACUGAGAGGUUGAUCGGCCACAUUGGGACUGAGACACGGCCCAGACUCCUACGGGAGGCAGCAGUGGGGAAUAUUGGGCAAUGGGCGCAAGCCUGACCCAGCAACGCCGCGUGAAGGAUGAAGGUCUUCGGAUUGUAAACUUCUUUGAUCAGGGACGAAUUUUGACGGUACCUGAAGAACAAGUCACGGCUAACUACGUGCCAGCAGCCGCGGUAAU